AAAGAAGAAGAAAAAUUAAAAAGAAGAAGGACAAGGAUUCCAGCUCUUCCUCAUCUUCUGACAGUGAGGAUGACAAGAAAAAGAAGAAGAAGAA